UGGGGAAUAUUGCACAAUGGGGGAAACCCUGAUGCAGCGACGCCGCGUGAACGAAGAAGGUAUUCGUAUCGUAAAGUUCUGUCCUAUGGGAAGAUAAUGACAGUACCAUAGAAGAAAGCUCCGGCUAAAUACGUGCCAGCAGCCGCGGUAAUACGUAUGGAGCGAGCGUUGUCCGGAAUUAUUGGGCGUAAAGGGUACGCAGGCGGUUUAAUAAGUCGAAUGUUAAAGAUCGAGGCUCAACCCCGCAAAGCAUUGGAAACUGAUAAACUUGAGUAGUGGAGAGGAAAGUGGAAUUCCUAGUGUAGUGGUGAAAUACGUAGAUAUUAGGAGGAAUACCAGUAGCGAAGGCGACUUUCUGGACACAACUGACGCUGAGGUACGAAAGCGUGGGGAGCAAACAGG
rnacentral:rRNA from 1 species